ACUAACUUAGUAUAAACUAGUACAUAUGGCUGUAAACUAUAAAGUAAUUAUUAAUUAGUUAGUU
rnacentral:tRNA from 1 species